rnacentral:snRNA from 1 species
AGAGAAUUGCUUGAACCCGGGAGGCAGAGGUUGCAGUGAGCCGAGAUCAUGCCAUUGCACUCCAGCCUGGGUGACAAGA